rnacentral:rRNA from 1 species
UACGGAGGGGGCUAGCGUUGUUCGGAAUUACUGGGCGUAAAGCGCACGUAGGCGGUCUUUUAAGUCGGGGGUGGAAAUCCUGGAGCUCAACUCCAGAACUGCCUUCGAUACUGGAAGACUCGAGUCCGGGAGAGGUGAGUGGAACUGGCGAGUGUAGAGGUGAAAUUCGUAGAUAUUCGCAAGAACACCAGUGGCGAAGGCGGCUCACUGGCCCGGUACUGACGCUGAGGUGCGAAAGCGUGGGAGCAACAGG